rnacentral:lncRNA from 1 species
AAAAGUAGAAAAUUCAAUUCACAGGUUAUAUAACUACUACAAGGAAAUGAUGCCUCCACCAUCAAAUGAGAUGUCUCAAACUAGUAGUCAAAGUCAACAACCUACUUUGGGUAUUUCUAUACCCAUCCCUUCAAUCUUUAAAGCGAGACUUAAUCGAGAUGCUAGGUUGGAGAAAAAUGAUUUGGUAGAUUACUUGUCUGACCGAUGUGAUGAUUUGACUGAGGAGCCAUUCGACAUUUUGAUGUGGUGGAAAAUAAAUGCUCCUAAGUAUAAGAUUGUCUCCCAAAUUGCCAAAG